AUUGAACGCUGGCGGCAGGCUUAACACAUGCAAGUCGAGCGGAGUGAUGGUGCUUGCACUAUCACUUAGCGGCGGACGGGUGAGUAAUGCUUAGGAAUCUGCCUAUUAGUGGGGGACAACAUCUCGAAAGGGAUGCUAAUACCGCAUACGUCCUACGGGAGAAAGCAGGGGAUCACUUGUGACCUUGCGCUAAUAGAUGAGCACAAGUCGGAUUAGCUAGUUGGUGGGGUAAAGGCCUACCAAGGCGACGAUCUGUAGCGGGUCUGAGAGGAUGAUCCGUCACACUGGGACUGAGACACGGCCCAGACUCCUACGGGAGGCAGCAGUGGGGAAUAUUGGACAAUGGGGGGAACCCUGAUCCAGCCAUGCCGCGUGUGUGAAGAAGGCCUUAUGGUUGUAAAGCACUUUAAGCGAGGAGGAGGCUCUUUUGGUUAAUACCCAAGAUGAGUGGACGUUACUCGCAGAAUAAGCACCGGCUAACUCUGUGCCAGCAGCCGCAGUAA
rnacentral:rRNA from 1 species